AUCUGGGCAGGUGACCCAUUACAAUGUAACCAUCUGGGCAGGUAACCUAUUACAAUAUAGUAUCUGGGUAGGUGACCCCUUACAAUGUGA